CACCAGAAACCACUGAGCUCUGGACACAUAAUAAGAAAGCGGCAAUAGAACAAAGUCUACGCCUGUCCCUGAUAAACACAUCGACAGCCUGAUCCAACAACUUAUCCAAAAGUAAACCCACAUCCGAGUUUCCAAAGAAAAACAAUUUCAGUAUUUUGUCACAACGCAAUAGGACACAAGGUGGACAUCCUGUUGGUAUCUGCCAAUAUUAAAUGGAAAUAAAUGAUACACUAUGCCUUAAAGUCCACUAGCAAACCUUGUAUGUUAUCUAUGAACGAAUGUUAGAUAUUGAGCAGACAUACUGAUUGGCACAGGACUGCUUACUAAGGACACAAAUUCAUUGUAAGAUGCAGCUAUAUCUCAGAAUGUAACUAAUGUAUUGAUAACAAGGUUUAUCGUUAACACAUUUAUAAGAAGGGAUUAUUGAGAGUGUAGCUCUUUGAAGAUGUGGAUGCCUUUUUCUUUAAGUGAAACCCUCCUGCCACACAGUGAUUGUGUAAUGUGGUGUAUGUAUCACAAGAUAACUAACACAAAAUGACAGGAAGCAAUUACCGUAGGCCACCCGUGUACCUCAAGCCACCUCAAACAUUCACUUCACGGCUGCAAUCUGUUUAAUACAGACCUUAACAUUUAUUGUUGGUUUUUAAUGUCAGCAGAAAAACUGAGAUUAUCAUCUGGCAAUUGGUAAAAACUAAUACAUGAUUUUGACUAGAAACAUGCAGAAAUAUCAAAUAAAUGUGACAAUUUUACGUUCCUGUUGGAAAGAAAACGUAGUUUGACAUUGGAAAUGUUUGUCACUGAAAUGUUGCUCCAAAACAAGAUUGGGAACUAUGGCAGUAGACGUUAUAAUAAAUCAAUAAAACACAUUGUCCAAUCUGGACACGACAAUAGAAAUAGCAAGACUUUGAAAUAUUUAGACAGAUCUCGUGAUUUAACACUAAUUUGUAUUUCCAAUAAAAUAUUUUCAAACAUUU